AUGGCUCCCGGCGCGGGGGGCGCUCCCCCUGGCGGCCGCCCCCCCUGCCUUGCCCCGACCUUCCUCCACCUCCUCCUCCUCCUCCUCCUCCUCCUCCUCCUCCUCCUGCUGCCCCCAGCGGCCCGGGAGGAACUGAACGGGCGCCGCACAGGAAGUAGCGGCUGCGGGGAGCAGUGGUGGUGGCGGUGGAGGAGGAGGAGGAGGAGGCAGAGGCAGCAGCAGCAGCAGCAGCAUCAGGGGCUGCGGCGCUCCAUGAGCCCAGGCUCCCGCAGCCGCCCGGCCCCGCUCGUCCCCGGCACUCAGCGCCCAAGCCCGGGGGCUGGAGCUUCCCGAGGAGAAGGAGGAGGAGGAGGAGGGAGGCAGGCAAAUGAGAAAGCAAAUCUCUUGAAACAUAAGCAGUGGUACUUCCCUGGAGGGAGGAGAUGGGAAUUCUCCUGUUACUCUGAGAGUUGCCAGGUGCCAGAAGUGGUCCACAGUGGUGGUGUCUCUCAUGCAUAAAAGGUGACAGCAAAAGUGGAAGGCUGAUGAGACCCCACUGACACAGCAAGAGGACAGUUUUUCAGGGUAAGAUUUUAAAACCCCGAAGCGUCUAGUGUCAGAUGUUGACAUUUUAAUGAUGAUCUCCAUGAUACCCUGCCCUCUUUGUGGGCUAUUAAUAGCUUUUUUAUAGGAAAGUAAUUUACUCCUGGUGAUUUUGCACACACAUGCAGCGUUGCUUUAGUAUUUUAAAAUGUUUCAAGGUCUAUUAUAGGAUGAGUCUUUUGCCACAAAACUUUAAUCUUUGUGAGAUUUUCUUCAAAGCUCAGAUUUGCAUAGCAAUACCUACUGGAUCAUCCACAGACUGUUCAGGGCAUGUUUUCUGUCUCCAUGCAAAGGUAUACUCCAUUUGAAGUUCUAGUUUUCCCUGCUAUGAAAAAAUGCUAAAGCAUUCAUCAUAGGUUAUAUUGGGUGGGCAAAUAACCACUUCUGUGAGUCCCAGGUAUUCUUGGACCAAAUUUUACACAUACAUUAGUUAUUACACCUGAAUCUGGUUAAUAUUGAUCGUCUGCAGCUUUGGUAGGUGAAGGGAUGCAGAUGAACAAAGCCUUGUUACAGUGUGGUGGUGACCAGCUACUUUCAGAGCCAGUUCUGCAGAAUGCUUUUACUCAGGCUCAUNNNNNNNNNNACCACGACCCCCAGAUCCCUCUCUUCUAGGCUGCUCUCCAGCGUCUCAUCGCCCAGUCUGUACGUGCAGCCGGGGUUUCCCCGUCCCAGGUGCAGGACCCGGCACUUGCUCUUAUUGAACUUCAUGCGGUUGGUGAUCGCCCAGCUCUCCAACCUAUCCAGAUCCCUCUGCAAGGCCUUUCCACCCUCAUUCAAGUCCACAACUCCUCCAAGUUUGGUGUCAUCAGCAAACUUGCUCAAAAUACCUUCUAUUCCUACAUCCAGAUCGUUUAUAAAAAUAUUGAAAAGUUAGUAGUUCAGUUAGAAGUUCUUAAGUGCAAGACUAAGGUGUUGCAUCAAAAUAAAAUGACAGAAGGGUUAGGCUCAGGAGUUUGCUUUGUUUUUUUUUUGUUUGUUUUUUUUUUUUUAAGCACCUCUUCGUAACUGAGAAAAUGUUAUUCUGUGUGUACUCAUAACCCUGAGGCAAGUAUGGUUGAAUGGGUGGUGUGACAUGCAUGUUGCAGUGCUCAUCAAGCUAAGAUUCAUAAAGCAGGCUUUCCAGUAGAAUAUGUUUCCUGGUAAUGCUUCAUCAGGGAUGGUGUUUUUUAUGUUUUUCUCUCCAGUGAGAGACAAAGGAAUAAAUACAGAACAACUCNNNNNNNNNNAAGCCUUGUUACAGUGUGGUGGUGACCAGCUACUUUCAGAGCCAGUUCUGCAGAAUGCUUUUACUCAGGCUCAUUGCCAUCAGUGUAAAAGCAAUACCCAAGCGAUGUGUGAAAACCUAUUUUUUGUGGAUUUGCCGUUUCAUAGCUUAUUUUUUCUGUUUAUACAGCCCCAAUUUUUGCCUUUCUUCUUUUUGUGUAAGGCCUGAAAAAGCCAUUGAUGCAAGUGUUACUGAGAAGCAAAGAUAUGCUGGUGGGGGACAGGAUUGUAUGAAUUGUGCAUGGCUGCUGAAUUUUCAAGUUCUGCUUCUGUUUGGACUUGAGCUUCUGGUAUCCAGCCCUGCAGGCUGCAAAGCCUGGUGCCUGUGCCCCUUGUGUAGUGCGUGCCUGGGUCUUUUAUCUCUGGUCGAUGGAGCCUGCGAGGAGGAAUCGUCUGGAAACGAAAUGUCCUGAAUGAGGUGGAUGGCCAUGCUGGAAGCUGCAUGGGUUGAAUAAUCCCAUGAAUAAUUCCUUCACCACCUUGAUUGUUUAGAUAAAUCCAGAGCGGGUCGAUAGAUAUUAAUAUGGAUUAGAGAAAUUUUACUGAGAGCUUUUCAGUGUCCCAGUGGACACUUCUUAUGCAGAGCAAAUCUCCAUUUCAUGAACCAAAGCACAAAUGGUACCAGCAGGCACGCACUCAAAGAGGUGAGGGACUGACUUAUGGGGAGGCUGAAUUAUGAUAGCAUUUCUCGUAAUGGCUGGCCCCUCUUGUUGAGGCUCGUGCAUAAGCAGAGGCCCUAUGGGUACCAUCUGCUGUUUUUGUCCUUACUACACGUCUUCGUGGGGAGAUUUCUUUUUCUCAGGCUUGCCAGCAUGACAAUUUUGUAGCAAUUAUUGGAAGAGUCAUUUUUAAUAUAAAUUUAGUUGGGGGUCACAGGAAAAAAAAAAUGGCAAAGACAAAGAUCCAGCAGGCUACAACAAGAAGCAGCUCACAAAAGCAGCAAUGACAAUCGCAAUUUCAAGAGUUUCUUUUAGUUCAAGCAAGGAGAAACGUAGAGUACAUNNNNNNNNNNUUUUUUUUUCUUUAAAAGAGACCUUUUGUCUAUUUAGCAAGAUGCUUCAUAUCUGCUCAGAAUCAUUCUGGCUGCAGUGAUUUUUGAGGGAGAGACAAGUCAGCUGAUCUUAGAGAAUAGUUUAUCUUGGUUUGAUUUAAGAUUGCAAUGUGGGAAUAGACCAGACGCUAAAGAAGAGACUUGGUGUGGGUAAUGGCACGAGAAGUUAGUUUAAUCACUGUAGCUGUAGAAUAUGGCCAUUUACAAUCUCAGAGAUUAAAAGACUGCUCAGCUCUUGUGUUUAUGGAAAAAAAGAUACUAAAUAUCUCAGUCAAACACUGAGAUACAUGAUAGAUCUCAAUGAAAAGAUGGUCCCUUGAUAGGAAAACUGCUUGUACUGAAUGGCUUCAGAUACAGUCUAAAUUCUGGCCUCCUUUUAAGUGUGAGAUGAGGAGAUGAAUAAUCUUCCAAAAGAUCUCUAAUCUUAGAAGCUGAGAUUUUUCAGAGCAGGAGAACGAUAUACGUGAAAUGGAUUUUGAAGUCAUUCUCAGUUUGCAGAUGAUCUGCUGCAGACACGGUUCCUUGCACAUAGUUUGCCACUGAGUACAUUUCGAAUAGCCUUUAGAGAUCUGCAUUCUGAGAACAAACUGGUGAAUCAAUUAAUGUAUUUAAAUUAGUUGAAAAUUAGACUAUUGCUUCAGUGUCCUGCCAGGCAGGACUUCAGAAUUUAUUAAUUCAGCCUCACGUUCCUUUAUUUACAAGCGGUGCCUACGUUUCAGUGUCCAGAAGCACUGAGAUCAGCCAGAGCAGGUGCAUGCUGCUCCUCCUACUGCUGCCAAAGGGGAUGAUGCUCGGGGAGGAAGGGUCGAGGCUUUUUGGCAUCUUGCAGGUGUGCAGCAGCUGCUAGUUUAGAGCACAGGGAGUCAGAGGGAGCCCAGGAGGUGUCAGCCCUCCUUCCUGACAGAUGUUAGCCUGGCCUGCUUGUAAAGGCUUCUGGCAACUGCCUCCCCAUACGUGAUGUGGUUUUGCGUCACCAUCUUUCCUCCAUGAAAAUAAGUUUCUUUAAAGCCAGCCUGGCACGGCUGUGGGGGAGCAAGUUGUUCCUGCAGCCCCCUGGGUGUUUCAAACCAUGACCAUGUCCUGGCCAUCACCAUCCCUUCACCGCUGUGCCGCUGCCUCCCCAUUGCCGCCGCUGCGGCCACUUCUCCCUUUCCAAUUUAACAGCAGCUCAGAUGUAAAUCAGGGUUUAGGCGUUAAAAAUAGCUGGCACCUGCUCCAGCCACGCUCAGCCGGGGUAAGCUGGGGCCCUGCUGCUGCCUGUGCCAGCCAUGGGGCUGGCGGGAGGGCUGAGGUGAGGCCUUCUCCACCCACCGCCAGUGGGGCAGCCCCGGCCCCUCAGAGGGCCCUGCAUCACCCGCUGGCAGGCUCAUCAGCUGCACUCGUGGAUGAUUAAUAAAAUACUCGUUUUCUGUCUCUGCAGCUGUGUUCUCUUCUAUUUAAGUUAUUUUCCUCUGCUUUUAACUUCAAAAAAAAAAAAAGUUUACUCUUGCUCAGUUUGGCCAAGUCCAAAGUCCAAGCUAGGACAAUGUAAAGAUAAUGCAUCCUAUUAGGAAUUACCUUAUUAUUUCAUAUUAUAAUUAGCUCAAGCUCCAUCAGCCUUCUGGAAAUCUUAUUUAUGUAUUUCUGAUUAACUAGAAAUACUAUAAAGAUAGUAAUAAAAAAAUUCCCAUGUGUAAACAAGGUGGUGGUGGGGGGGACACUAGUUCAAAGGCUGAGGGCACAUAUUUUUCUGGAGCAGAUAACACUAGGCUGUGGCAUGUAGCUCUGUUAAAGAUGUGCAUUUGGAAAAGAAAAAGAAAAAAAAUCUUGGCCACUUCUUCUUGGAAAGGAAUAUGUGGAAUAUAUCUGACUUCUUGAGAUCCUGAAGAGCUGAUGCAUGUAAAAUGAUCGUCUCCUUCACUGCAAUAACUUCGCCCGUAACAGAGAAGAGCACUUUUUUCUCAGAAUACAGCUGUAUUUAACUGUACUUCCCUUGUCUGUGCUAUUGAGUGAGACAUGACAGCUAACGCAGCUAGUUUCACUGUUGCCC
rnacentral:lncRNA from 1 species